rnacentral:rRNA from 1 species
ACUCCUACGGGAGGCAGCAGUGGGGAAUAUUGCACAAUGGGGGAAACCCUGAUGCAGCCAUGCCGCGUGUGUGAAGAAGGCCUUCGGGUUGUAAAGCACUUUCAGUAGGGAGGAAGGUAGUGUAGUUAACACCUGCAUUAUUUGACGUUACCUACAGAAGAAGCACCGGCUAACUCCGUGCCAGCAGCCGCGGUAAUACGGAGGGUGCGAGCGUUAAUCGGAAUUACUGGGCGUAAAGCGCAUGCAGGCGGCCUGUUAAGUCAGAUGUGAAAGCCCGGGGCUUAACCUCGGUAAUUGCAUUUGAAACUGGCAGGCUAGAGUCUUGUAGAGGGGGUUAGAAUUUCAGGUGUAGCGGUGAAAUGCGUAGAGAUCUGAAGGAAUACCAGUGGCGAA